rnacentral:rRNA from 1 species
GGUUUAAAGGGUCCGCAGGCGGGCCGAUAAGUCAGUGGUGAAAUCUCAUAGCUUAACUAUGAAACUGCCAUUGAUACUGUCGGUCUUGAGUAAAUUAGAGGUAGCUGGAAUAAGUAGUGUAGCGGUGAAAUGCAUAGAUAAUACUUAGAACACCAAUUGCGAAGGCAGGUUACCAUGAUUUAACUGACGCUGAGGGACGAAAGCGUGGGUAGCGAACAGGAUUAGAUACCCUGGUAGUCCACGCCGUAAACGAUGCUAACUCGUUUUUGGGGCGCAAGCUUCAGAGACCAAGCGAAAGUGAUAAGUUAGCCACCUGGGGAGUACGUUCGCAAGAAUGAAACUCAAAGGAAUUGACGGGGGCCCGCACAAGCGGUGGAUUAUGUGGUUUAAUUCGAUGAUACGCGAGGAACCUUACCAAGACUUAAAUGGGAAAUGACAGGUUUAGAAAUAGACCCUUCUUCGGACAUUUUUCAAGGUGCUGCAUGGUUGUCGUCAGCUCGUGCCGUGAGGUGUUAGGUUAAGUCCUGCAACGAGCGCAACCCCUGUCACUAGUUGCUAACAUUCAGUUGAGGACUCUAGUGAGACUGCCUACGCAAGUAGAGAGGAAGGUGGGGAUGACGUCAAAUCAUCACGGCCCUUACGUCUUGGGCCACACACGUAAUACAAUGGCCGGUACAGAGGGCAGCUACCACGCGAGUGGAUGCGAAUCUCGAAAGCCGGUCUCAGUUCGGAUUGGAGUCUGCAACUCGACUCUAUGAAGCUGGAAUCGCUAGUAAUCGC